GAAAUUUAGAAAGUAAAACUGAGGAACAAGAUGAAAAAAUAAAAAAACUAACGGAAGAAGUAAUGAAAAAACAUGUUGAAGAUCUAAAUCCAACACAUAUUCGAGGAAUGUACAAUUUAAGUUUACCUAGUCUCUAUUGAUCAUGAACACUUAAUAGUUGUCAUAUAUACACUAAAGAGUCAUCAGAUUUUGAUAGAAAAAAAAUGUCUUAAUAUUUUUGGCUUUUGACUUCACAUUAUGAAAGAUUAAAUUCCAACACAUGUUCUCAAUACUGAAAUAUGUGCAGAGAGCCAAAAAGAAGUUUAUUCAUCAUGAUAAUACUGAUUGUUUGUAAUUUCAUACUUCAUGUACGUUGUGAAAUGUAAAAAAAAAUGAUGGCUUUAGUAAUACGAAUAAACAAUAAUCAAAAUAAUAUAACUGUAGUUUCAUUUCUGCAAAAAUCAGUGUAAAUUAGCUAUGUAUACGGACUCUUUCGGACGGUAACACCUGGCUCAUAUUAGUUCAAGAUUUUCCAAAAGAAACAAAACCGAAGCCUUUCCUAAAAUAGGAUAUCUAACUUUUAAAGAUUAUAAGCGUGUAAUACAGUGUGA